AUGCUCUAGAAAGCUAUCCAAGAAAGGUAUCAAAAGCAGUAUAUGUGUGUGCCACAAUGGUAUUGAAUGGGCAGAAACCUUUCGAUGUAUUUUCGGAGGAAGUAAGUACAUACUUGUAGAAGUUUGCAAAAAAUGAAUAUGAUGGAUGUAUGACAUUAUUAUCUUUCGGUAUGCAUUUUGGAGCAUAUUUUUCUAAGUCACACUUGAGAUACUUUGUUUGGCAUGUUCGACAGCUAGCAUCUGCGGAUCUUUUUUUGCAAGAGUCACAAUUUCUAGUGUAUGGAAAUGGAAGAGAUAAACCUCCUACCAGCAUCAUG
rnacentral:lncRNA from 1 species